UACCGGUACGAACCGUUUCUGUGAAGCGUGUGACGUCGCUGCUGGCACUCGGUUGGCCGAGCGUCUCAGGCUCGCAAUCUGCUCGACGCGGUUGCUAAGCGUGCAAAUGUAGUUAACAACGUGACUGAAUUACAGAAAGAGAAGAGCAAGAGGAAGAUUUCAGGAGAACAUCACGAUUUUCUGUCCCUACCUGGGUAAUUAUCUCCAGGCUGAUUAGUGUUCUUCCUCAAGAAAUGACGCAAGUUUUAAGUCCAUCCUCAGCAUUGAGACAUGGCCUGGGUCUUCUCCAUUUCAGGUACAAUGAAGAAUUCCUUCAAAUCUAAGAACACUGCAUCCUGAAGGACUAAAACUGAGCUGGUUGGCUGGAUGAUUGAAGGGGACCGGUAGCAUUUGCAUAUUUUCAAUCUGAGUACCUGGUUCAAAUGCUCCACUGAAAUCCAUCGCUCCCAGUGGGCUUUGUAGCAGUCUCUGGAAACGGAACUGGGACUUUCAGUCCACAGGAGGCAGUCAUUCAAGGAAGAUACUAUGAGUAAUACUUACGAAAAGUUGAGCCUAAUGGUUGUCAGACGCUGUUUUAUAACACUAGCAGAUAAAAACAGAAGCGCGUGCUGCGCAGGCUUCUUGAAGGCUUGCAGUAUGGAAGAAGUUGAAAAUGGACGUGAAAGAGAAUAGGAGGAAAUGCAGUAUGGUACUUUCAAAACUAAUUGGUCAGGAGAGAAUUAUUGCAAAUGUAGAUACUUAGUAGGAGGAAACUGCGCAGAAGGCAGAAAUGACUGAAAUGAGCUAGAGAUGACAACUACAUUUAAAAAUGAGGUAAGUUCUAGUGAUACAGUACAAAAAGAAAAAAUGCAAGCACACCAUAUUAUGGGGUCAACAAAUACUCCACCCACGUGGUACCAUUGAAACAAUCUGAAAAUGCUUUAUCAGCAGAUUGUGAUAAA